rnacentral:rRNA from 1 species
GACGGGACCCGCACAAGCAGUGGAGCAUGUGGUUUAAUUCGAUGCAACGCGAAGAACCUUACCCAGGCCUGACAUGCAGAUGACCGCUCUAGAAAUAGAGUUUCCUUCGGGACAUUUGCACAGGUGCUGCAUGGCUGUCGUCAGCUCGUGCCGUGAGGUGUUGGGUUAAGUCCCGCAACGAGCGCAACCCUUAUCAUUAGUUGCCAACAGGUGAAGCUGGGAACUCUAAUGAGACUGCCUGGGUUAACCAGGAGGAAGGUGAGGAUGACGUCAAGUCCGCAUGGCCCUUAUGUCUGGGGCUACACACGUGCUACAAUGGUCGGUACAGAAGGCAGCGAAACCGCGAGGUGAAGCAAAUCCAACAAAGCCGAUCUCAGUUCAGAUUGUAGUCUGCAACUCGACUACAUGAAGACGGAAUUGCUAGUAAUGGCGAGUCAGCAACAUCGCCGUGAAUACGUUCCCGGGUCUU